AGUGAACGCUGGCGGUAGGCCUAACACAUGCAAGUCGAACGGCAGCACAGUAAGAGCUUGCUCUUACGGGUGGCGAGUGGCGGACGGGUGAGGAAUACAUCGGAAUCUACUUUUUCGUGGGGGAUAACGUAGGGAAACUUACGCUAAUACCGCAUACGACCUACGGGUGAAAGCAGGGGAUCUUCGGACCUUGCGCGAUUGAAUGAGCCGAUGUCGGAUUAGCUAGUUGGCGGGGUAAAGGCCCACCAAGGCGACGAUCCGUAGUUGGUCUGAGAGGAUGAUCAGCCACACUGGAACUGAGACACGGUCCAGACUCCUACGGAAGGCAGCAGUGGGGAAUAUUGGACAAUGGGCGCAAGCCUGAUCCAGCCAUACCGCGUGGGUGAAGAAGGCCUUCGGGUUGUAAAGCCCUUUUGUUGGGAAAGAAAAGCAGCAGGUUAAUACCCCGCUGUUCUGACGGUACCCAAAGAAUAAGCACCGGCUAACUUCGUG
rnacentral:rRNA from 1 species